rnacentral:tRNA from 1 species
AGGAUUAUAGUUUAAAUAAAAUAAUUGAUUUGCAAUCAAUAGAUAUUAUUUAUUAAUUUAUCUUA